rnacentral:rRNA from 1 species
CUACGGGGUGCUCCAGUGGGGAAUAUUGCACAAUGGGGGAAACCCUGAUGCAGCCAUGCCGCGUGUGUGAAGAAGGCCUUCGGGUUGUAAAGCACUUUCAGCGGGGAGGAAGGGAAUAUGGCUAAUAUCCAUAUUCAUUGACGUUACCCGCAGAAGAAGCACCGGCUAACUCCGUGCCAGCAGCCGCGGUAAUACGGAGGGUGCAAGCGUUAAUCGGAAUAACUGGGCGUAAAGCGCACGCAGGCGGUUUGAUUAGUCAGAUGUGAAAUCCCCGGGCUCAACCUGGGAACUGCAUUUGAAACUGUCAAACUAGAGUCUUGUAGAGGGGGGUAGAAUUCCAGGUGUAGCGGUGAAAUGCGUAGAGAUCUGGAGGAAUACCAGUGGCGAAGGCGGCCCCCUGGACAAAGACUGACGCUCAGGUGCGAAAGCGUGGGGAGCAAACAGGAUUAGAUACCCGUGUAGUC